GUUUUCACCAACAACCUCUUACCGUUUCCCUAUCUAAAAGCUACUUUUAAUAAGGACCCCUCCCAAUUUGACACCUACCUAAAUUCAUUUUCACCACACUUGUACAUGGAUCCCUUAAGUAAGUGACAGAUUACUAGUUCUACAAACGAUAAUGCAAAGUCGAUAUUUUAUCGAUAAAAUGAUUUUUCUCUACUUCUUAAGAAAUAAACGUCUAUCGAGUAUAUAUUACUAAAGCCUAUAAGUUUAUUUUGGCAGAGAAGAGAAAACGAGGAUAAACCUUUCUUGCAGAAGAAAAAGACAAGCUAGUGAGAUUGCUGACGUCUCAUAGAGACACAAUAUUAAACAAAAAACGGAUGGGACCACGAACGAAGCCAAAAACAAAGCUUGGAUCCAGUUACAAAUAGUUUUAAUGCGAUAGGAACCGUUUACAGUUUCAGGUGGUGCGAGAAAUUGGAAAGACGUGUAAAAACAUGCUGCGCCCAGCCCACCUCAAAUUGAAUUGGUGCAGGAGGAUGAUGAUAAUGUUUGGUACAUCAUAUGUGGACUAAUAUUAAAAUAUUUGUUUACUAUCUUUGUUUUAAUUUAUAUAUUUUAUUAUGUUCAAUAUUAGCCUACUUCUUACCUCCAGGGGGUAUCCCCUAUCACCUAGGAGAUAGGCUCCUCCAUAUUCACCAUUUUCGAAUCAUUGGUAUCUACUGCAAUUUUGGUAUUUAAGGCCAAUUCAAACCUGAGCGAUAUUCGCUGCCGCUGUGGGUAGAGGUAGAUACCGCACGGGUUUCGCUCAGGUAUUUAGUAUCAAGUAUAGUUACCGGCACGGAUAUUGAGCUCUCGGCGGAAGAGUGGGGAUCGCUUUGCGCACUGUACACAAGGCAAUAAACCAAUAAAUGGCUUCUGCGCAGGUUAAGGUCAGGGCUCAAUAUCCGUGCCAAUAACUAUACCUACCGCGGCUAGAGCGACCUGAGCGAUAUUCACUGCCGCUGUGGGUAGAAGUACAUACCGCGCGGCAGCAGCGGCAUACGUCCCGAACAUCAACAGUAAUAUUAUCGCAUACCCACUGGGUUUUCUCUGUCGCAGGUGGUAGCGAAUACCGCUUAGGUCUGAACAGUCAUAUUACCGCAUACCCACAGGGUUUUCUCUGCCGUAGACGGUAGCGAAUACCGCUUAGGUCUGAAUAGGCCUAUAGAUGUCCCGGCCACCGCGAAACUACAUCACUGAUUACCAGAUUUGCAUCUGUUAUGGUCUGUAUAUUUAUGGACAUGCAGGACUACCUAUUUUUGAAUAAUUCAGCGACAUCACGACCUAGCAAGUGCAUUCAUAGC